GCUGGCAUGGCCAAGUUGGUAAGGCGCAUCACUAGUACAACCGCAAUGAUGAGAUCCUCGGUUCGAAUCCGAGUGCUAGCA